rnacentral:rRNA from 1 species
GGAGUUGGGUCUUAUGAGCUAUGGAACUGGAAUGUUCUCACCUUGUUCACAUGACCUUGAAUUGAACCGUAGAGUGUAGGCGACCGAGGAUGUAUGAUCUGCUUUCAAUAGCGGAGGCAUCGUGUGAGGCUGACCUUUACCAAUUUCCUUUGAGAACGGGAUGUUCGCCUUGGAUAGGUAGAGGCCGAUGGCUGUUGACCACUGUGUCUGAUUGUAUGUUAGCGAGGUUAAUGCAAUUCUAUAGGCGGGGCGAUGGGAGUUGAAGGGGGNAUAGCUGUGGCUACGCUUACUGGAAAUGGAGCCAUUCGUCACGGACCGAGCGCACUUGUGCUGCCGGUGUAUUAUUNGAACUUUGAUCUCAAAUCAGACAAGACUACCCGCUGAACUUAAGCAUAUCAGUAAGCGGAGGAAAAGAAACUAACAAGGAUUCCCCCUAGUAAUGGCGAAUGAAGANGGAAUAGCUCANAUUUGUNAUCCUGGGAGGUUUCCUCCCCCGANUUGUAGUUUUGUAGAAGGCGUUUUUCCGUGGAUCCCGGUGAGUUAAA